ensembl:snRNA U6 U6 spliceosomal RNA
GUGCUCGCUUUGGCAGCACAUAUAUUAAAAAUUGGAAAGAUACAGAGAAGAUUAGCAUGGCCCCUGCACAAGGAUGACACGCAAAUUUGUGAAGCGUUCCAUAUUUUU